CCAGAGCUAUUCUCAUUGAGAGACCAAAACAGAUACCGGAAUUUAUUGCCACUUAUUGCGAAGAGCUGCUGAAAUUUAGAGAAUGUGAUCUUUUGAUGGAUACCAAGGAUGUUACACAUCGCUACCAAGACAUCCGUGAGACAAAACACAUCAAAGACUUGAAAGAUGCCAUAGACCUAAUGUACAGGCAGCUAGGCCAUCAGGAUCAGCCUGGAGAUC